CCAGAGGAAUUCAGAUGUUAGGAGUUAUUUCUAUAGCUGUAUAUUUUCUUCUGGGAACAGCGCAAGGUGAAGAAACAUUGUUACGCAAGAUGUUAAGUUUGGUAUUUCUGAGAGGCUCCUAAAAGGAGCCUUGUAUUUGUAUUAAGAGUGAGGCCUGAUGGUUUGUAGAGUAUAACUGACAGUUGUAUGGACUGCCAUUUUAACCUGGUUUACUGUUUCCUUUGGCGUUGUUCAGUAUGUCAAGCAGGAAUAGAAGAAUGGUUAAACUCUGCAGUAACAUGAACUCGGCCUAGACUCUUUCUAAUGGUAGGUUGUUCAUUAGAUUCAAUAUUUUCUUAGGUCAAGAAGAGAGAGAACAUGUUAUUUCUGUUUUAGGUUGUCUUUUUUUUGCUAUUAUUUAUAUCUCCAUAACCUUGCUUAUUUGUAUCUGCUUGAUGCAUCAAAUUCUCAUGCAAAAUUCCCCACUGUGGCUAUGAUUUUUAUAAUGAUUACACCUGUCUUUGUCAGAGCUUUGCUUUAUAUAUUUUGCUGCUGUAGUUUUUGGUGUACAGGAAUUCACUAAUUAUACUUGAAGAUGUCACAAUUUGCCUCUUUUCCCUGCUUAACAGUCUUGAUCUUGAAUUCUGCUUAUCUGAUUGUGAUUCUGCCAUUUCUGCUUUCUGUUUGCUUACAUUUGCCUGGUGUAAUUUUCCACAUCCUUUAUUUUCAAACUUUCUUUAUCAUUCUGUUUUAGGCGUGUUUCUUGCCUAUGACAUUGGGCAAGGUAUAUCUGUUAGGAUAAUUUGGGUUGCAAAUAAUGUGCACUGGUUUCCAAAAAUAGAGGAGGAUGUAUUUGCUCUUAUAAUGUUGCAGGAUAGGUUUUGUUUUCAAGCAUGGUUUGUUUCAGUUUUGAUGCUUGAUUUCUCUCAGUUCACUCAGUUCUGUGUUCCUUUGUGUGUUAGACUAUUUUCUCUCCUGGGAGCAAAAUGGCCACAGAGGCCCAGGCCUCCCAUGUGUUUAUACCUCAAAGUCCAGAAAAUGAGAAAACUUCUCUUCUGAAAAUCUUGAAACUCUUUAAUCACAUGUCAAACCCUAAAAAAAAAAAAAAAUUCACUGUGACCGGUGAUGUGCCAUGCCGCAUUGCGUUUGGGCCUGUAUUACUCAUCUUCGAACCAACCACUUUGGUGGGGAGAUUAAUAUUAUGAUAAAAGGUUCCUUUGGGUGAAUUAAAGCUCAAAGCCUAAAAUUGAAAUUUAAGAUUAAUUCCCAUCCGAGCCAGUGAGCCAGUGUUCAAGAGAACAGAGUAGAUAAGUAUUGUAAAGAAGUUACCACAGUUCUCAUUACUGGAUAACAACGUAAUUCUUUAUCUUCAAAAGGUAAAUGAAUAAACUAACAGAAUGUACCAGAAAAAAAUAAGAAAUAAUAAGUAAGAUUGCUAUUGCAAUAUUAAUGUUGAGAAGUAAAAAAUCAGGAGUUUCCCUAUCACAAAUCAUAACCAAUUAGAAAAUAUAACUGGGAGUUCCAUUGUGGCUCAGUGGAUUAUGAACCCAACUAGUAUCCAUGAAGAUAUGGGUUCAAUCCCUGGCCUCAGUUAAUUGGUUAUAGGAUCUGGCAUUGCUGUGCCUGUAGCUGUGGCUGGCAGCUGCACCUCCAAUUUGACUCCUAGCCUGGGAACGUCCAUAUGCCAUGGGUGUGGCCCUAAAAAGCAAAAAAAAAAAAAAAAAAAAAAAGAAGAAGAAAAUAUUUCAUAUAUAAAAAGUAUAAAAUGUAUUGGAAUACAUUUAUUAAGAAACAAAGUAUUUAUAUGAAAACAUAUGAACUUUGAGAGAUUUAAGAUAUUUCUAGCUAGGAAAACUCAAUUUUAAUAAGUUGAUUUAAUAAAGAUGUCUGUCCUCUUUAAAAUACUCUGUUUUGGGGAAUUCCUGUUGAGGUGCAGUGGAAAAGAAUCUCACUAGGAACCAUGAGGCUGUGGGUUUAAUCCCUGCCCUCACUCAGUGGGCUAAGGAUCUGGCAUUGCCUGAGCUAUGGUGUAGGUCACAGACAUGGCUCAGACCCCGCAUUGCUGUGGCGUAGACCAGCAGCUAUAGCUCCAAUUCAACCCCUGCUUGGGAACCUCCAUAUGCUGCGGGUGUGGCCCUAAAAAAGCCAAAAAAAGUGCAUCUGGGGAUUUUCCAGUGUGGCUCAGCAGUGAGGAACCCAAAUAGUAUCUAUGAGGAUGAGGGUUCAAUCCCUGGCCUUGCUCAGUGGGUUAAGGAUCUGGCAAUGCUGUGAGCUGUGGUGAAGGUUGAAGACAUAGCUUGGAUCUUGUGUUGCUGUGACUGCGGUGUAGGCCAGCAGCAGCAGCUCCAAUUUGACUCCUAGCCUGGGAACCUCCAGUUGCCGCAUGUGUGGCCUGAAAAAGAAAAAAAAAAAAAAAACAGUGCAUCUGAUAAUGCAUAACACAAUAUACUAGCCAGGGAAUUAAAAAUGACAGAACAAACACUGUAAACCAAGUAUAAU
rnacentral:lncRNA from 1 species